rnacentral:rRNA from 1 species
UACGUAGGGUGCAAGCGUUGUCCGGAAUUAUUGGGCGUAAAGAGCUCGUAGGCGGUUUGUCGCGUCUGCUGUGAAAUCCCGAGGCUCAACCUCGGGCCUGCAGUGGGUACGGGCAAACUAGAGUGCGGUAGGGGAGAUUGGAAUUCCUGGUGUAGCGGUGGAAUGCGCAGAUAUCAGGAGGAACACCGAUGGCGAAGGCAGGUCUCUGGGCCACUACUGACGCUGAGAAGCGAAAGCAUGGGGAGCGAACAGG